rnacentral:rRNA from 1 species
UACGGAGGGUGCAAGCGUUAUCCGGAUUCACUGGGGUUAAAGGGUGCGUAGGCGGCUUGAUAAGUCAUUGGUGAAAGCUCGCGGCUCAACCGCGAAACUGCCAAUGAAACUGCCAAGCUUGAAUCUGGUUGAAGUGGGCGGAAUACAACAUGUAGCGGUGAAAUGCUUAGAUAUGUUGUAGAACACCGAUUGCGAAGGCAGCUCACUAAGCCAAUAUUGACGCUGAGGCACGAAAGCGUGGGUAGCGAACAGG